rnacentral:sRNA from 1 species
GGUGUCUCAGAACUGUGACGGGCUCCACCUGAGGAGUGGGCUGCCACGCACGGCCAUCUCCGAGCUCCACGGGAACAUGUACAUUGAAGUGAGCAGUCCUGCAGGGACCCGGGGUCUCCAUGGGCAGGCGGGUCCCACUCACUGUGCCCUCUUGCCUCUAGGUCUGUACCUCCUGCGUUCCCAACAGGGAGUACGUGCGGGUGUUCGAUGUGACGGAGCGCACCGCCCUCCACAGACACCAGACAGGCCGGACCUGCCACAAGUGUGGGACCCAGCUGCGGGACACUAUUGUGCACUUUGGGGAGAGGGGGACGUUGGGGCAGCCUCUGAACUGGGAAGCGGCGACCGAGGCUGCCAGCAGAGCAGACACCAUCUUGUGUCUAGGGUCCAGCCUGAAGGUUCUAAAGAAGUACCCACGCCUCUGGUGCAUGACCAAGCCCCCUAGCCGGCGGCCGAAGCUUUACAUCGUGAACCUGCAGGUAACUCGGGUGCUGAGAGCCACGUCCUUAGAUCUGGGUCUUAGAAUGCACAGCCAGAGACACCCCACACCCAUGCACCAGAGCGGUCUGAUAGGGCCCCCGUGGGUGCUCAGGGAGCACCGACUGAGCCCGUAGGGGCCGAGGCUGACAGGCCACCGGGAAGGGUUGGGCUGCUGUUACUCUCACUCAGCUUUCCCUGUCCUCAGUGGACCCCGAAGGAUGACUGGGCUGCCCUGAAGCUACAUGGGAAGUGUGAUGACGUCAUGCGGCUCCUCAUGGCCGAGCUGGGCUUGGAGAUCCCCGCCUAUAGCAG